ACAACAGCCCUGCGCACGGGCAGGGUGUGAACCCCGCCAGGUCCGGAAGGAAGCAACGGUAAGCACCUGGGCCCGGUGCCGCAGCAAGCUGUUGUCUG
rnacentral:SRP_RNA from 1 species